rnacentral:rRNA from 1 species
CGGGAUUGCCUUAGUAACGGCGAGUGAAGCGGCAAAAGCUCAAAUUUGAAAUCUGGUACCUUCGGUGCCCGAGUUGUAAUUUGGAGAGGGCAACUUUGGGGCCGUUCCUUGUCUAUGUUCCUUGGAACAGGACGUCAUAGAGGGUGAGAAUCCCGUGUGGCGAGGAGUGCGGUUCUUUGUAAAGUGCCUUCGAAGAGUCGAGUUGUUUGGGAAUGCAGCUCUAAGUGGGUGGUAAAUUCCAUCUAAAGCUAAAUAUUGGCGAGAGACCGAUAGCGAACAAGUACAGUGAUGGAAAGAUGAAAAGAACUUUGAAAAGAGAGUGAAAAAGUACGUGAAAUUGUUGAAAGGGAAGGGCAUUUGAUCAGACAUGGUGUUUUGUGCCCUCUGCUCCUUGUGGGUAGGGGAAUCUCGCAUUUCACUGGGCCAGCAUCAGUUUUGGUGGCAGGAUAAAUCCAUAGGAAUGUAGCUUGCCUCGGUAAGUAUUAUAGCCUGUGGGAAUACUGCCAGCUGGGACUGAGGACUGCGACGUAAGUCAAGGAUGCUGGCAUAAUGGUUAUAUGCCGCCCGUCUUGAAACACGGACCUCCUGUGUGAAGUGAUC